GCCCCUAUAGCUCAGUGGUAGAGCACCCGCUUACCAAGCGGAAUGUCGGUAGUUCAAUCCUGCCUGGGGGCA
rfam:Phytophthora infestans T30-4 supercont1.33 genomic scaffold, whole genome shotgun sequence.